GGUAGGGUGGCCGAGGGGCUGCGGCGGACACGGCGGCUCUGGACCCGCUCCUGGCUCCGGCCAGCCACAGGCCCUGACACGUCCGAGCGGAAGGCUUACAGGUGUUUCCUCCAGGAUGUGCUCUGAAGAUGUCAGCAAAAGAGAAAGAGGGAGCUUGCUCAACCACCAGAGCAACCCUGCAGCCCACACCUAGGCAGUCCUGAACCCUCCCUUGCCUGCAAGACCCAUGUGGAGUCUCCCAGGCAGGAAAACUCCACUCAGAAGUGGAAGCACACUGAGAACUCUCUCCAGCCAGCUACAGAAUCAUCCUCAUGCCUGCUGCUGUCUUCUGAUUCAAUUACUCCUUUCAUUCGUGUGGGUGCCUUUUUUCAGCAGAGUGGAUGAGCUCCUGCAGCUGAGAUUCCCAUUCCGCAUCACUUCAUUUACAGUCAGAUGCAAGGAAAGGGAUGCUUCAAAUUCCCAGGAGCUGACUCUGGAUCAUGUCUCUUUUUAGUUUCGUGUCAGACCUCUGGGAGAUUAUAUAAAUAGCUUGUCACUAUAGGACACGAAACAACACGACACGCACACACCGCUGCUCUCAAGGUGAAAAAAAGGGAAGUUUACUUUCUGACUCUAACAUUUACAGAUUUCUAAAAGUGACAGUGGAUUGGAGGGUGAAAGUGCCAGCUCUCCAAUGACACUGGACAAACCAACAGUCUAUUAAAUUUCUCUUCUUCCAUAAAAGAAUGUAAAACAAUAAGCUAUUUACAGAAAGUGUGUGAGAAAGUUUGUUACAAGAAUGUAAACAUCGGAAGGUUUAGAAAAUCUUAACAAAUCAGGGCCACAAUAGCUAGUGCAUCUUCUCACUGCAUUUUCUAAGUUCCUAGCAGCUGGCAGCAGGUUGGAGUUGGUCAUCCUGACUGGAAAACUGCUCUUCUUCUAUCCAGAAAAGGGCAACUUGUUGUCUGACGUGGGCUUAACUUCUCCCCCUGUCCUUGCACCUCCAGCAGCUGCAGAGGCAGUUUUCUGUUUGAUUUUGAGAAUUAUGUCUUGAGAUACCUUGCUUUCUCUGCCUGCUGCAGAGUUUGAGUGCCUGAACACAUCUGGAACCCAGCAGAGUGUGAGCAGGGGAGGGCUUGUCCCAUGCUGUGAGUAUCCCACAUGGAUUGGGCUGCACUGUCUCUUAGCCCACCAAACUCUGCCCUGCAGCAACUGAGCAUGCCCCUUUCCCUUCAAGGACAUACCUCCUUGGUGUGUAUACAUAUAUAUGUAUCUCUGGUGUGUCCCUUCCCUGCAAAGAGGCCCACCAGCAUCAAGAGCAGGGCCCCGUACCCUGAAUUGCUCCUGCUUCCUGCAAAUGCCUUGUGCUAUGUCAGGAUGAAGGGCAGUUGGGAUAUUAACCUCCCACUCUGACAUCCUCCUUGUAAACAUCCUGUCCCACUCAAGUCCUGCGCUGUCACAUCCUCUCUGCUCUGCCCAGACACUAUUCUGGGUUUAGUUCUACAUGCAGAGCACACAGCUGGGCAUGCCAAAAUCCAGGCAAGCAGCAGGAGAGAACAGUAACUUGGUUCAGCUGCUGACAUAUUCUUAAAACUAAAAUCAUCUGCUUGAGCCCUCCUUGGAAAGCCAGUUUGCUUCCCUAGGCAUGUUCAGCAGCUGUACCUUACUCCAAGCAGAUGCAAGUCUGUGCAUAUGGCAUGAAGAACCUUGGUAAUAAUGGGAGCAGAAGAGAGAGCUUGGAAACUGCAGCCCAGUAAGUUUACACAAGCAGCAAGUAAAACACCCAUCCCCUGUGAGUCAGUCCUGGCUGUUUCCUUCAUUUCCUCCAAGGCUCGCUGUGAACAUCCAGCGGUAGCAGCCCUUCUGAAAUCCAGUCAUCUCCUUUCCUGCCUCUUGUUUACAGUCUCCAGCACUGCAUUUUCACUGCAGCGUGCUGAGAGAAGUGCAGACUCUCCCCUGGCCUCAGCUCAGCUUUGGUACCGCAGUGCUCUUACUGCUUUCGUGGGUGCCAGCACCUUCUUGAGCUACAGCACGUGCUGAAGUAAGAGAGGAAAAAGUGUCACAGUUGCACAAUAGUUUUCUUUUUUUUUUUAAUCUGGAACGCAGCUGUAUCAUUGACAGAGGUUCUUUAUCCCUACAGCCAUACCUUUGGAUUCAGUCUGGUAGGGUAGAAAGAAUGCAGGGGGUAUUAGGUUGUUCUAAGUGUGCAAACCAUCUCUCAGAGAUAUGGAUUGGAUCUUCCCUGCUUCAGAUUGAGGUGUAUCUCAUGAUCUGAUUUCCCCACAUGACAGCAUCUAGGGAGGGGGACUAUUUUUAGCUUUUGUUUCUUGGUUUGUUUACAGGAAGUUCUUCAUUUGUGGAAGUGAGCUUGGGUCUGUCUUAGUCUGAGAAUCUGCUUCAGUGCCAGUUGUCGAUGCAGUUAAAAGGGUGAACUGCUGCUGUUGUCUAGGAGAGGCAUCAUUUGUCCCAGGUGUUCAAAAAACUGUGGGUUUCACACAGACAAAUACUGAUUUCUGGGAUGUUUUCUGAAAUUUGUUCAAGGAGAUGUCCAGGCAGCUGUGACAGAAAAGUUUAGGAAAAUACAGAACUGGGAAAUUCUUUUGGGUAAUAUGGAUAGAAAUGCUUUUCUGUGUGAAACUAGUUAUAAAUCUACAUUGCUGCCAUAACCUGAGUUAAUGACAGUAGCUCUGAGACAAAACUCAUAUUGUCAAAGAAUGUGAACAUCCCAAGACAAGAACAGACCUAAAUGGGCUUCCCCCAUUUUCUUCUCAAGUGCCCUCUCCUGGGAAUUCCAAAUAGCCUACAGCCAACAAGUGACCUAGAUACAAUGCUGUGUCUUAUGGAAUAAAACCAGGAGCAAAAUAA